UGGGGAAUAUUGCACAAUGGGCGCAAGCCUGAUGCAGCCAUGCCGCGUGUGUGAAGAAGGCCUUCGGGUUGUAAAGCACUUUCAGCGAGGAGGAAGGCAGUCGUGUUAAUAGCACGAUUGAUUGACGUUACUCGCAGAAGAAGCACCGGCUAACUCCGUGCCAGCAGCCGCGGUAAUACGGAGGGUGCAAGCGUUAAUAGGAAUUACUGGGCGUAAAGCGCACGCAGGCGGUUUGUUAAGUCAGAUGUGAAAUCCCCGCGCUUAACGUGGGAACUGCAUUUGAAACUGGCAAGCUAGAGUCUUGUAGAGGGGGGUAGAAUUCCAGGUGUAGCGGUGAAAUGCGUAGAGAUCUGGAGGAAUACCGGUGGCGAAGGCGGCCCCCUGGACAAAGACUGACGCUCAGGUGCGAAAGCGUGGGGAGCAAACA
rnacentral:rRNA from 1 species